ACUCACGGUUGCAUACUUGCGUGUAGAUAUCCGUGCCGGUCGCCGGUCGUCGUCUUCUGGUGUUUGUAGACUAUGGAGGAUCCUGCUUCCAUCGAGUUGUUCGCUGACCGCGGGGACGACCACCUGCUGGCGAUUCCAGAGGAGCAGACGCCGCGCACCUGGACCGUGCUUGACGCAGACCAAGUGGGGUUCGCCGCCGCCGCCGCCCAGUCCCCCUCCGUGACGGGUCGCCCCAUGCCAGCGCCGACGUAUACUUCCGGUACCUGCCAAUCCACUUCCUGGAACUCGAAGCGGAACCCCAAGUGCGUCGAUCUGACGCCAAACCCAUGGAGGAAAUGGCGCAGGGGCGGACAGCGGCCUCACUUUGUCGAAAUGCUCAGGCAAGCCUCCAUCCAGUACGACCACCCCCAAUCCUCAGGUACCAAUUUAUCUGCUUUGUCUCUUUAUCUUCCUUCCCUGUUUCAGUCUAUACUGAACUUUCGUCGUCUCGCUUUACAUGUUUCGGCGAUGGCUAAAUCAGCAGUCGGCAGCACACCACUGUCUGUAUUGCUCUGUUAGCUUCAGUUUCCAUUUUCGUUAAGAGUAAACAACAAUGCUACUGAUGUCUUCAUUCACUGAAACGUUCAACAUAUUUACUUGAUCAAUGGGAUUGAGGGGCGGGUUUGUUUUUUUAAGGUAGUACAAAGUAUUGAUCCUGACCAAAGAUGCAAACCGACAGUAGUGUAGCACAGAGUUACAGCCAUAAGCUGUUGCAAAGUAUCUGCCAAGUGCUGGAAUUAAAAAGUUCAGUAAGUAGUUUGAAACACAAGCUCGAGCUGCACAUAUCCUGUGCAACAGUGGGUUUCUGAACCGCGCUUAAUAAUUUUAUAAACGCACACACUGUAUGUUUGGCUGUGAAAUGUUGUUCCAUUGAUGAAAUGAAAAUGGAUACCCGAUUCGAGGUUUUGUGCUCAACCAAUGUCGGGACGAAAAUCAACCGUUAUUUUACCAUUCAAUAUACGAGUAUCAUGUACCCUUGCAGCAAAGCAUCUUACCACCCCUUACUAUUUAAAUAAUAGUGUGCAUUGUUAAUUUAGGCUGAAGAUAGUGCUAAACGUCAUCAGUGUUGGAUAUUACAAUUAAUGUUGAUGGGUUAAAUUUUAUGAUCUCCACACAUCCACUGAUAUCACUUGAGUUAUAAUUUGUGACGUUUCUUCUUUCUGUCUCACACUCUUUUUUGAGAUCUAUUAAAGACUAUACUGAAUAAUUGGUACCAGUCAAUUAUAAAGUUUGUUAAAGUUUUCUUACUAGCAGCAAAGAAAAGUUUACAUGGUGCCAUGCUAAAAACCUCACUUCAAUCCAAUAGAAAUAAUUCGUUACCAGAUCUGCGGAUUUUGAAUAUAAUUUAUCCUUAACAAUUCAUGAAGCAGUAUGGUGCCUCCACAAAGGCUGGGCAAUAAUUGGAUUUAAUUUCCAGAUCUUGAGAUGCCUAGAUUUUCUAGCAUACAUGAAUCAAUUUGAAAAAAAAAACAUAUAUAUCUGAAUCACAGAGUUUUCAUCUGGCUUAUUGUGUGGUGAUAGAUUCAGAUUUUAUCGACCAAAUCAUCACUUAUGUUUACUCUAUCAUGUUUCUUAUUUCCUGCCAAUCCUUGGAUAUAGCAUAAUUCCCAAUUCCUUUAGUCGUUGCGAUUAUAUUUGGGUAGGCAUUUUGCUCUUUUCUUUCUUUUAGUUUAUUGGCUUGAUAUAUUUUUGUGUAGCAAGUCUUGCAAUGAGCAGACAAAGUGUAUUUACCUUUUUUUAGAGUCAUACUAGCAUUAUCAUUAAUUAAGAUGAUGCGUACAAGCAAAAGACACAAUAUAGCUCCCUCUUUAGUUCGCGGGUAUGACCUGAUUAUUGAGUACAAGUAACUGCGUCCAUCUCGUACGCUAAAAGACCCAUCUGCCAUGGAAAAGGACUUCUGUGGUCUGUGCCGCGCAAAAAAAGACCCAGUUGACUUUCCCUAUAUUUUUCUUAAAUGUGGUUAGAAAGGAGCAAUGGAAGCAAUCUCUCAUGUCGCUGGCAAGAUAACUGUUUCAUCAUCAGAUCUGGGGUGGAUCUAGGCAAAACUGUAAGGCCACUGUCCAAGGUGCAUGGGUUACUCCAGGAGUUUUUUUUUUGUCAGUAUAAUGUACUACCUGUCACAUGUUCGACCAGUAACUAACCUUUGUAUGAAAUGGAAACUGAGAACUUCAGUUUAGUUUGUUCUACUUGCAUCUAAAAAAUUAUUUGAUUGCUUGUUUGUUGUUGACAUUAAAUUUUCUCCUUAAUAUUUCUGGAGUAUCUGGUGAAAAAGAAUAAUACUAUUCAGUGACUUAA